UUAUCUGUCUCCAAACUUUUUCUUUCCUUUUUAUUUUGUUGUUCUUCUCUACGCCAUAACUUCUCUUCUUUUUUUUUUUUUGGGAAUUUUCAAAAAUACCAUUUCCAAGGUACCAUUAUAUUCAUCUUUACCACCGCUAAAAACAUAUUUUCAAAAAUACCUUAUUUAUUAAAAUGGUAAAAACUCUUAUAUCUUUGUAUUUAUAUGCUUUUCAAAAUUCUAAUCCCAAAUUCUAAAUACUAAACCUCCAAUUCUAAACUCUAAACCCAAAAUCUUCAACUCUAAACCCUAAACCCUAAACUAUAUACCCUAAAUUCAAUAUCAUAAACCCUAAACCCUAAAGUCUAAACUAUAAACCCUAAAUCCUCAACUCUAAACCCUAAAUCCUCAACUCUAAACCCUAAACUAUAUCCUUAAACCCUAAAACAUUAAAUCUAAACCCUAAAUCCUAAACCUUCAAUUCUAAACCCUUCAUUAAAAGUAGUGGUAAAAGUGAUUAGUGUAAACAUGAAAAGUGGUACUAUGAAAAUGGUAUUUUUGGCAAUUUUUUUUUUUUUUUCAACUGUACGCCUCUCUUUCUUGUUCUCUAAACCACGACCACCACCGUCUCUUCUUAUUCCUCUUGUUCAAAUGGCGGUGAACUUCGAGGAAGGACGGAAGAGAAGACAACAUGGACACAUGGUCGAGAUCUGGAAAUCCAAGUGUAAGAGAGCUUGCUCCAAAAGUGUCGCUAACGUCUUCAAUUCACACAGAAACUUCAAUACGUUGCUUAUCCAUUGCUUCUGCUUCAUCGAUCCAGAAACAGUUGGAGAGCUUGCUUUCUAUGAAACUUGAUGCUUGAGACAAAGGUGCGCGGAGAGGAUAGAUAAGCAGUGGUGAGCCGAAGACGAGCUCGACGACAGUGAGUGGGAAGAGCCGUGGUGAUUCCGUCGCCGUCUCCGACGUCAAAGGAAAGAAGAGAGAGACGCAAGGGCUUGGUCUUCACAGCGAAUGGUGGUUGACGGCGGCCGAGUUGAGAAGCUUGAAAGCGGCGUGGUUUUGUUAUUAGGUUUAGUUAGCAAAUAGGUUUAGGGUUAAGCUUGGUUUAGGUUUGGUUUAUUUUUUCAUGUAAACCUUUUGUAAUUUUUAAUUCAAUCUAAUUUAUAAAUUAUAAUUUUAGUA